rnacentral:rRNA from 1 species
UACAGAGGUCCCAAGCGUUGUUCGGAUUCACUGGGCGUAAAGGGUGCGUAGGUGGUUGGGUAAGUUUGAUGUGAAAGCCCCGAGCUUAACUCGGAAAUUGCAUUGAAUACUAUCUGGCUAGAGGGUUGGAGGGGGGACUGGAAUUCUCGGUGUAGCAGUGAAAUGCGUAGAUAUCGAGAGGAACACCAGUGGCGAAGGCGAGUCCCUGGACAACUCCUGACACUGAGGCACGAAAGCUAGGGGAGCAAACAGG